rnacentral:rRNA from 1 species
GAUGAACGCUGGCGGCGUGCCUAAUACAUGCAAGUCGAGCGAACGGACGAGAAGCUUGCUUCUCUGAUGUUAGCGGCGGACGGGUGAGUAACACGUGGAUAACCUACCUAUAAGACUGGGAUAACUUCGGGAAACCGUAGCUAAUACCGGAGAAUAUUUUGAACCGCAGGGUUCAAAAGUGAAAGACGGUGUUGCUGGCACUUAUAGAUGGAUCCGCGCUGCAUUAGCUAGUUGGUAAGGUAACGGCUUACCAAGGCAACGAUGCAUAGCCGACCUGAGAGGGUGAUCGGCCACACUGGAACUGAGACACGGUCCAGACUCCUACGGGAGGCAGCAGUAGGGAAUCUUCCGCAAUGGGCGAAAGCCUGACGGAGCAACGCCGCGUGAGUGAUGGAGGUCUUCGGAUCGUAAAACUCUGUUAUUAGGGAAGAACAUAUGUGUAAGUAACUGUGCACAUCUUGACGGUACCUAAUCAGAAAGCCACGGCUAACUACGUG